rnacentral:rRNA from 1 species
AACAGGAUUAGAUACCCUGGUAGUCCACGCCCUAAACGAUGUCUACUAGUUGUUGGUGGAGUAAAAUCCAUGAGUAACGCAGCUAACGCGUGAAGUAGACCGCCUGGGGAGUACGGUCGCAAGAUUAAAACUCAAAUGAAUUGACGGGGGCCCGCACAAGCGGUGGAUUAUGUGGAUUAAUUCGAUGCAACGCGAAAAACCUUACCUGGCCUUGACAUGUAACGAACUUUCCAGAGAUGGAUUGGUGCUCGAAAGAGAACGUUAACACAGGUGCUGCAUGGCUGUCGUCAGCUCGUGUCGUGAGAUGUUGGGUUAAGUCCCGCAACGAGCGUAACCCUUGCCAAUAAUUGCCAUCAUUUAGUUGGGCACUUUAUUGGGACUGCCGAUGACAAAUCGGAGGAAGGUGGGGAUGACGUCAAGUCCUCAUGGCCCUUAUGGCCAGGGCUUCACACGUAAUACAAUGGUCGGUACAGAGGGUUGCCAAGCCGCAAGGUGGAGCCAAUCCCAGAAAGCCGAUCGUAGUCCGGAUUGAGGUCUGCAACUCGACCUCAUGAAGUCGGAAUCGCUAGUAAUCGCGGAUCAGCAUGUCGCGGUGAAUACGUUCCCGGGCCUUGUACACACCGCCCGUCACACCAUGGGAGUGGGUUUUACCAGAAGUAGGUAGUCUAACCGCAAGGAGGACGCUUACCACGGUAGUAUUCAUGACUGGGGUGAAGUCGUAACAAGGUAACC